AUGGAAUUGAUGCAUCUUACACUGAUUCUCAUAGGUCCUUUGGUCUUGUUUUCAAGGAUGGGUGCACUGGAAAAGCUUGACGAACCGGUUCUGUUUGGCCCACUUGUUGGAUUAGAAGGUUCAGUUGUGGAUUUCUUCUGUGAGAUUCCUGGGAAACUGGCAACGUUGUCCGUCCACUAUGAGCUCUAUGCCGAGAAAAACCCGAGUAGGGUGCUUGGGGAGUACUCCUCGCUGUCUGGAGAACUGGCCACUAUUUCUCAGGUUAUCGGCACAAAACAUGACGGUCGACUCAUCUGCAAGGCCAGCGGACACAAUAACACUGAUAUUGAGAGUUCGAUCAGUAAGGGCUUGGACUUCAGAGUCAUCGUUCCAGUGGCGGAAGUGAUGCUCAUUUCACAUCCUUCCAGUGAUUACAUAUGGGAAGGACAAACUUUGACCCUCCAGUGCAAAAUAACCAAAGGAACGGUUUCUGCACAAAAUACAGGCGAUUAUAUGUGUGUGGCAUCAAACCAAUACAACGACACAACGAUCUUCAACUCCAGCAGUAAUGUCGUGACUGUGAAUGUCAAAGCACUGAACACAGUCUCUCCUUUGGUUGUGAUCGUCGUUUUCACCUCUUUUGCCCUGCUGAACCUCGCUGUGAUUGCCUGUUGUAUUUAUGGAGUCGUGCUGCGGAGAAGAUAUUCAAGGAAAUACCCACUUACUGAGCAGCACAGAAAAAUGGGAAUCACCGAUAAAGAUGAGGAGGAUGAAGAUUAUCUAUUUGAGAUGUUGGAGGGUUAUGAGGAAGACGUUGUCCAAUCUGACAGAUUGAGUGACUCUGCUGAGGAUGAAGACCAAUCCGUGGAUGAAUCCGUCCUGUAUGAAGGCGCUGUUUCAGAAUAA
ensembl:lncRNA